UAGGGAAUCUUCCGCAAUGGACGCAAGUCUGACGGAGCAACGCCGCGUGAGUGAAGAAGGAUUUCGGUUCGUAAAACUCUGUUGUUAGAGAAGAACAGCGCAUAGAGUAACUGUUAUGCGUGUGACGGUAUCUAACCAGAAAGCCACGGCUAACUACGUGCCAGCAGCCGCGGUAAUACGUAGGUGGCAAGCGUUGUCCGGAUUUAUUGGGCGUAAAGCGAGCGCAGGCGGUCAAUUAAGUCUGAUGUGAAAGCCCCCGGCUCAACCGGGGAGGGUCAUUGGAAACUGGUUGACUUGAGUGCAGAAGAGGAGAGUGGAAUUCCAUGUGUAGCGGUGAAAUGCGUAGAUAUAUGGAGGAACACCAGUGGAGAAGGCGACUCUCUGGUCUGUAACUGACGAUGAGGCUCGAAAGCGUGGGUAGCAAACAGG
rnacentral:rRNA from 1 species